AACUGCUCCAAUGGAAAGGUUGGAUGCUCACAUGGAAGAAGUGAUCUGAUUUUGCUCUCUCUCAUCUCUCUUUGUAGAUUUUUGUUCAUGCUGGGAUGUGUUCAAGUGUUGAUUUUUGUUCAUGUGUGGAAGCUGGGCUGUGUCUAUAUGUACAUUUUUGUUCAUGCAAGAAUUUUUUUAUUUACACUCAUUAGAUUAUGUUAUUCUCAUGUGUAGCUCGUCAUUUAUCCAAAAUAUUGUUCUUCCAUUUGGGGCUUUAGUUGCAGAUUCAUGCUUAAAAUUAUAUUGUUCAGACGCAUCUUUGCGUGCUUGUUUUGCUUUAACCCGUCGCCUAGCCGUGAAGCACUCUGCUGCAGCCUCUCACUUCACCGUCGACGACACUCUGCUCCAACCCGUCACUUCGAUGUGAAGCCCUCUGCUGCAGCCUCUCACUUCACCGUAGACGACACACUGCUCCAACCCGUCUCUGUCCAGUCCCAGACAAACCUGUUGUAAAGAAGUGCUUAUAAUUUCUCAUGCCCUCAACUACUAUUUUAGCUUUAGUAUGCUCUGGGUAUAAGAAUGGCCGCUACAAUGGUCAGUACCAAGGGCAGUGUCCUCCUGCUGGCGGGGUUCCAAAGUGGAUGUGGAACGCCAUGACCAAGAUCUUCAAAUGUCCAAUGUUUCAUAGACUAUAUCCAUGACAGAGGUCUCUUUUCUUUUAAAUAAAAAUUGACUUUCUCCUUCUUUUCCUUAGAUAAAUUUAUGAUUGAGGAGAAUAUAUUCCUUCAUGUGUUGUUUCAGUAUAAACGACAUAGAGUUGGUUGUACCCUGAGUUUCUUCCUUCCUCAAAUAGAUAGAUUCAGAAUUCUGACU